rnacentral:rRNA from 1 species
CCUACGGGGGGCAGCAGUGAGGAAUAUUGGUCAAUGGACGAGAGUCUGAACCAGCCAAGUAGCGUGAAGGAUGACUGCCCUAUGGGUUGUAAACUUCUUUUAUAAAGGAAUAAAACGAGGCACGUGUGCCUUUUUGCAUGUACUUUAUGAAUAAGGAUCGGCUAACUCCGUGCCAGCAGCCGCGGUAAUACGGAGGAUCCGAGCGUUAUCCGGAUUUAUUGGGUUUAAAGGGAGCGUAGAUGGGUUGUUAAGUCAGUUGUGAAAGUUUGCGGCUCAACCGCAAAAUUGCAAUUGAUACUGGCAGUCGUGAGUACAGUUGAGGUAGGCGGAAUUCGUGGUGUAGCGGUGAAAUGCUUAGAUAUCACGAAGAACCCCGAUUGCGAAGGCAGCUUACUAAACUGUGACUGACAUUGAUGCUCGAAAGUGUGGGUAUCAAACAGGAUUAGAUACCCCAGUAGUC